ACAAUCUUGCACAUGACUCUAUUAUAGGCUAGAAAGCAAGAACACAACCAGAUGUACCAGACAAAAUAGAGUGUACAUUAGCUCUCUGAAAAAUGAAGUAUAACCGAUAAAUCUUGUAUAUAGUCACUCGAACGGAUCGGGUCUAACACAUGCCAAAGUACAUCCACACUCGGAUAGACUCUAUCUAUACAAGAUACAUAUAAAGGUAGCCUAUACAAAGAAAUACGGAUAAACUAUGUCAAACGGAUAUAUAGUAAUUCGGUCAAAAAGGCAAUCUCGUUCUCGAAUAUUUCGGAAUGUUCUGAAGGGUUCCAAAACCUUCCAAAACAUUGUGGGAGAUUCCAAAAUCUCAAGGCAUAUCCGUUAAUCUUUCUGCUUUGGAGCUUUGGAGCGCCGCAGGCCGCUCCUUGGUGUCCCCUCUGUAAGUUGCAGCACACUCCUCGGUGUUCCUCGGCCAAAAUUUCGGUGAAUCAUCACAACAAAAAAAUUCAGAAAAAAGAGUUUUUGGCCGCUUUGGAGAUUGAUCAUCAAUUAAAAUGGACAAAUUAACUGAAACAAAGAGAGUACAAUAACCAAAAUGUUCGCCUUGAGGGCAAGGAGAGUUCAGACUUCGAGAUAACUGUCGCCAAAGUUACGAAGAAAGAAACAGACAAAAAUAUGUCGUUGAGUUAGCUUUGGAAGUAAAUAUUCUUUGUGCAUUUUUUAUAAUCGAUCUCUAUGGUUUCCAUUGUUUGCUUUAUGAUUUAAUAAGAAGUUGUUUUUCAGCUGUUUGCUUGUUUGUAUUUUUUAAA